rnacentral:rRNA from 1 species
GAUGAACGCUGGCGGCGUGCCUAAUACAUGCAAGUCGAGCGAACAGACGAGGAGCUUGCUCCUCUGACGUUAGCGGCGGACGGGUGAGUAACACGUGGAUAACCUACCUAUAAGACUGGGAUAACUUCGGGAAACCGGAGCUAAUACCGGAUAAUAUAUUGAACCGCAUGGUUCAAUAGUGAAAGACGGUUUUGCUGUCACUUAUAGAUGGAUCCGCGCCGCAUUAGCUAGUUGGUAAGGUAACGGCUUACCAAGGCAACGAUGCGUAGCCGACCUGAGAGGGGGGGCGGCAACACUGGAACAGCGACCGGGGCGAGACACAGACGGGAGGCGACAGUCGGGAUUCGUCCGCAAGGGGGAAAGACCGUAAGGCGCAACGCCGCGUGAAUAAUAAAGGUCUUAGUAACGAAAAACUUUUUUAUGGGGGAAAAACAAAAUGCUACUUAAAUAUACGCGCCUGGAGGGUCCCAAAGCAAAAACCCCCGCCUAACUACC